rnacentral:rRNA from 1 species
CCUGAUGGAGGGGGAUAACUACUGGAAACGGUAGCUAAUACCGCAUAACGUCGCAAGACCAAAGAGGGGGACCUUCGGGCCUCUUGCCAUCGGAUGUGCCCAGAUGGGAUUAGCUAGUAGGUGGGGUAACGGCUCACCUAGGCGACGAUCCCUAGCUGGUCUGAGAGGAUGACCAGCCACACUGGAACUGAGACACGGUCCAGACUCCUACGGGAGGCAGCAGUGGGGAAUAUUGCACAAUGGGCGCAAGCCUGAUGCAGCCAUGCCGCGUGUAUGAAGAAGGCCUUCGGGUUGUAAAGUACUUUCAGCGGGGAGGAAGGGAGUAAAGUUAAUACCUUUGCUCAUUGACGUUACCCGCAGAAGAAGCACCGGCUAUCUCCGUGCCAGCAGCCGCGGUAAUACGGAGGGUGCAAGCGUUAAUCGGAAUUACUGGGCGUAAAGCGCA